AUUGAACGCUGGCGGCAGGCCUAACACAUGCAAGUCGAACGGUAACAGGAAGCAGCUUGCUGCUUCGCUGACGAGUGGCGGACGGGUGAGUAAUGUCUGGGAAACUGCCUGAUGGAGGGGGAUAACUACUGGAAACGGUAGCUAAUACCGCAUAACGUCGCAAGACCAAAGAGGGGGACCUUAGGGCCUCUUGCCAUCGGAUGUGCCCAGAUGGGAUUAGCUAGUAGGUGGGGUAACGGCUCACCUAGGCGACGAUCCCUAGCUGGUCUGAGAGGAUGACCAGCCACACUGGAACUGAGACACGGUCCAGACUCCUACGGGAGGCAGCAGUGGGGAAUAUUGCACAAUGGGCGCAAGCCUGAUGCAGCCAUGCCGCGUGUAUGAAGAAGGCCUUCGGGUUGUAAAGUACUUUAAGCGGGGAGGAAGGGAGUAAAGUUAAUACCUUUGCUCAUUGACGUUACCCGCAGAAGAAGCACCGGCUAACUCCGUG
rnacentral:rRNA from 1 species